GCGCCGGUAGCUCAGUGGAUAGAGCAUUAGUCUUCGGAACUAAGGGUCGGGGGUUCGAAUCCCUCCCGGCGCACCA
rnacentral:tRNA from 1 species